rnacentral:rRNA from 1 species
AAAGGAAUAGACGGGGGCCCGCACAAGCGGAGGAGCAUGUGGCUUAAUUCGAUGCAACGCGAAGAACCUUACCCGGGUUUGACAUGUGACUGCACGUCCCGCGAAAGCGGGAUUCCUUCGAGGGUGUCACACAGGUGCUGCAUGGCUGUCGUCAGUUCGUGCCGUGAGGUGUUUGGUUAAGUCCAGCAACGAACGCAACCCCUGUGCCCAGUUGCCAGCGCGUAAUGGCGGGGACUCUGGUCAGACUGCCUGUUCACACAGGAGGAAGGUGGGGACGACGUCAAGUCAGUAUGGCCCUUACAUCCGGGGCUGCACACGUGCUACAAUGGCCGGUACAGAGGGACGCAAGACCGCGAGGUGGAGCAAACCCCCAGAGCCGGCCCCAGUUCAGAUUGCGGUCUGCAACCCGACCGCAUGAAGUCGGAUUCGCUAGUAACGGCGCAUCAGCUACGGCGCCGUGAAUACGUUCCCGGGCCUUGUACACACCGCCCGU